rnacentral:rRNA from 1 species
UCUCAAGAAAAGAAUUUUAGUCCAACCUAAAGUACAACUACAUACGCACAAAUUACCCUCUUACUUUAGAGCAAUUCAAAUAAGGUACAGCCUAUUUGAUACAGGACCCAACCUUAACUAACGGGUAACAUUUAAUUUACAUCUAUAAGUAGGCCUAAGAGCAGCCACCUUUUAAAAAGCGUCAUAGCUUACACGUUUAUUCUAAUUCCUCAGCCUACAUAGACCCCUUUAACUGUACUGAGAACUUCUAUAACAUUAUAGAACCUUUUAUGCUAAAACUAGUAACAAGAGUCAGCCCCUCUCCACAAUGCAAGUACAGCCCAGCAAGAACCCACCACUGGCACCUAACAGACCUAAACAAAAGUAGCAACUUAUACCAGAAAACUCUACUUUAAUUACUGUUGACCUUACACCAGAGCAUUUCAAGAAAGAUUAAAAGAAAAAGAAGGAACUCGGCAAACAUUAGCCCCGCCUGUUUACCAAAAACAUCGCCUCUUGUCCAUAUAAGAGGUCCAGCCUGCCCAGUGACUCUUGUUCAACGGCCGCGGUAUCCUAACCGUGCAAAGGUAGCGUAAUCACUUGUCUUCUAAAUAAAGACCAGUAUGAAAGGCAUCACGAGGGCUAAACUGUCUCCUUUCCCUAAUCAGUGAACCUAAUCUCCCCGUGAAGAAGCGGGGAUUAUUGUAUAAGACGAGAAGACCCUAUGGAGCUUUAAACAUCACAACACCUGCCUUACAUUUUUAUCUACCCAGGUAUACCCCCUCACAGCACACUGAUUGUAUGUUUUUGGUUGGGGUGACCGCGGAGAAAAACUAAUCCUCCGCAAUGAAAGGGAUCUUCCCUAAACAAUAAGCCACAACUUUAUGUAUCCACAAAUUGACAUCAUUGACCCAAUAUAUUUGAUUAACGAACCAAGUUACCCUAGGGAUAACAGCGCAAUCCACUUCAAGAGCCCCUAUCGACAAGUGGGCUUACGACCUCGAUGUUGGAUCGGGGUAUCCUAGUGGUGCAGCCGCUACUAAGGUUCGUUUGUUCAACGAUUAAAACCC